GAUAACAGACCUUCCUUCUGAAAGGAUUAUUGAUGAUCCUUUGCCUACUCUACCUAAAUCCAUUAUAUAUUGCCGUCAAUUUCUUUGUGAUGGGGUGUCAAAUCCGCAGGUGCUGGUGCAGUGGUGUGGCUGUCCAAAGGAAGAAGCUACUUGGGUUGAUGAAAGUGAUUUUAAGGGUCAGUUUCCAGAAUUUAGCCUUGAGGACGAGGCUGUUUCAGCAGGAGGCAGAAAUGAUACGUAUUCUCAGGUGGUGGAGGGAAAAGGAAGGACAAAAAGGGAAUGGCAGGUACACUCUAGAAGGAUCAAGGAAGAUCAAGAAAAGGGAAUGACAACUACUGCAAAACAGAAUGCUUAACAGAAUGAGGGCAUUGUGGGGAAAAUAUGAAAAGGGUGUAUCAAGCAUGUA
rnacentral:misc_RNA from 1 species